ACCUCAAUCUGCAUGCAGAACAGAUCAUACAAGAUUUCAAUCAGCAUUUCCCAUCCCUCACGUGGCAUGGACUGAAUCGCGCCAAAAGAUCACUGACCGCUUUGCUGUAAUUUUCGGGAGGAGAGUAGACGUUUGCAGUCAGUGUAUCAAAGAAAGUAAUCGGACGUUCUUGGAUGUUGAUGCAAUGGAGCAGAAAUUGUCAGACCCUACCUUCCAGAAACAAGUGAAUGCUGUGGUGGCAGAAAUUGGCGGGAGUACUGUGGAUAAAGCCACAAGAAGAAUGAUAGCCUUUCCUUUUGAACCACCCCUUACCAAGAGUUCAAUUUUGUUGGCCGGCAUGGAAAGAGAGAGG
ensembl:lncRNA